rnacentral:rRNA from 1 species
GUUUACCAAAAACAUGGCUUCUUGUAAUUUUCUGAUGGGGAGUCGGACCUGCCCGGUGAAUUUUUUUAACGGCCGCGGUACUCUGGCCGUGCAAAGGUAGCAUAAUCAUUUGCCUUAUAAUUGAAGGCUAGUAUGAAUGGUUUGACAAGAAUAUGACUGUCUCUUUGCAAUUUGAUAGAAUUUUAUUUUUAGGUGAAAAAGCCUUAAUUAAAUUAAAAGACAAGAAGACCCUAUCGAGCUUGAAAGAAAUUAGUAGAUGUUGAUUUUUAUUUUUAGAAAAUAUAGCUAUUAAAUAUUUUGGUUGGGGCGACUAAGGAACAUAGAAAGCUUCCUUUAUUAUUUGUUAGACAUACAGGUAUUGAUCCAUAGUUUAUGAUUAAAGAAAUUAGUUACCGUAGGGAUAACAGCAUUAUCCUUUUUGAGAGUUCUAAUCGAAAAAAGGGUUUGUGACCUCGAUGUUGGAUCAGAAUUUCCUAAAGAUGCAGAAGUCUUUGAGGGUUGGUCUGUUCGACCAUUAAAAUUCUACGUGAUCUGAGUUCAGACCGG